UACAGAGGUCUCAAGCGUUGUUCGGAUUCAUUGGGCGUAAAGGGCGCGUAGGCGGCCAGCGCAAGUCAGUUGUGAAAUCUCCGGGCUUAACUCGGAAAGGUCAACUGAUACUGCGCGGCUAGAGUGCAGAAGGGGCAACUGGAAUUCUCGGUGUAGCGGUGAAAUGCGUAGAUAUCGAGAGGAACACCUGCGGCGAAGGCGGGUUGCUGGGCUGACACUGACGCUGAUGCGCGAAAGCCAGGGGAGCGAACGGG
rnacentral:rRNA from 1 species